AUGGAUAACCUCCUCAUUAGA
rnacentral:tRNA from 1 species